GACAGAGGUGGCAAGCGUUGUUCGGAUUUAUUGGGUGUAAAGGGCAGGUAGGUUGUUAUGUAAGUCUGGUGUGAAAGCCCACGGCUCAACCGUGGAAUGGCAUUGGAAACUGCAUGACUUGAGUACCGGAGAGGUGAAGGGAAUUCUCGGUGUAAGGGUGAAAUCCGUAGAUAUCGAGAGGAACACCAGUGGCGAAGGCGCUUCACUGGCCGGUUACUGACACUGAGCUGCGAAAGCAAGGGGAGCAAACAGG
rnacentral:rRNA from 1 species